rnacentral:lncRNA from 1 species
GUGGUGUGGCGCGGGCUGCGCGGGGUAGCCGCCGCCGUAGCCGCCGUACGGGGGGCAAGCCCCGGCGGCGGGCGGAGGGUACCCGUGCUGCCCGUGGCCGCCGUACCCCUGCUGCUGCCCAUGGCCGCCGUACCCGUGCUGCUGCACAUGGCCGCCGCCGUACCCGUGCUGCUGCCCGUGGCCGCCGUAGCCUUGGUCGCAGCCGUACCCCUGGCCGCCGUACCCGUGCUGCCCGUGGCCUUUGCCGCCGCCGACAAGGCUGGACACGAAGCCCUUCACGCCGCCGUUGUGGCCGCCGUGCAUGUCGUGGCCGCCGCCCAUGGUCGCUUGCUUGCUUUGGCCGAUCGAGCAAGUGAAGUUGUUUGGUGUCGCUCGAUGAUGUGCUCAGUAUGUCGAGGCCUGCGUCCCCUUUUAUAGCCGCUUGUUCCGCGGCCCCUUUGGACGUGUGUCGACCGAUCGCAUGUACGCGAGUCGAC